rnacentral:rRNA from 1 species
AUUGAACGCUAGCGGGAUGCCUUACACAUGCAAGUCGAACGGCAGCGCGGACUUCGGUCUGGCGGCGAGUGGCGAACGGGUGAGUAAUGUAUCGGAACGUGCCCAGUAGCGGGGGAUAACUACUCGAAAGAGUAGCUAAUACCGCAUACGCCCUACGGGGGAAAGGGGGGGAUCGCAAGACCUCCCACUAUUGGAGCGGCCGAUAUCGGAUUAGCUAGUUGGUGAGGUAAAGGCUCACCAAGGCGACGAUCCGAAGCUGGUUUGAGAGGACGACCAGCCACACUGGGACUGAGACACGGCCCAGACUCCUACGGGAGGCAGCAGUGGGGAAUUUUGGACAAUGGGGGAAACCCUGAUCCAGCCAUUCCGCGUGAGUGAAGAAGGCCUUCGGGUUGUAAAGCUCUUUUGUCAGGGAAGAAACACCGGCUCUAACACAGUCCGGGAAUGACGGUACCUGAAGAAUAAGCACCGGCUAACUACGUGCCAGCCGCCGCGGUAA